GUACCCACACCUCACCGAGCUUUCUGUUAGACCAACGUGAUAGGUGAGCCGUAUCGCCGUCUAUAAUGGUCGAGACAACUGUGUUAGUGAAAACUGCACUUGAGAUAAAUUAAUAACUCAUUGGUGCAAGUCCAGUACCGGGGUU